CCCACACCCACCCUCACCCUCACCCUCCCUUGCUUCACCACUGAGCUAUAGAGGCCAUUGUGAAGAACAUUCCCCAUUUUUCCCAAUUUCUUGCUAAUGACGAUAAACUAGGUUUCCAUAAACCCUGCAUACCGAUGUCCACAACGCUGCGCAUCCUUUCUUAUCCAAUCAUCCCAGAAAAAGAAAACCCCUGUACAGUUUGGGGAUGUAGCUCACAUGGUAGAGCGCUAGCUUUGCAUGCGAGAGAUCUGUUGCAUCCCAUGGAGCUUGGACUUCCAGUACUUUUUUGAGGAAAUUUGCGCCAUUUUACGUCCUUUCUCUCAUACUAUUGGUUAGCAUUUGGAUUGUUUUGUUGGAUCCUCACAAUGAGUUGGCAGUCACGGUGGACAGGCUCUCUUGGUCAUACAUGAACCCCACUGGUCCAUGAAAAUGAAAGACUUCCCAAUUCUGAGAUCUGAGGAGUAAUAAUUUGAACAUUGAGAUUCACAACUGUGUGUUACAUCAUAAUUUGUAUUAUUUUGUACCCAAUAGAGUAUAUUAGUGUCACAUCCAACAUUUUUCUUCCCCCAUAAAUUAGAAAUAAAGAAAUAUGUUAUCUGACAUAUCGAAACUAAUGAGGCAUGGGCUGCGUAUGGGCCUGCUAUGUGGGCAUUUAUUGGGAGAAAAGGAGGAGACCUGAUUUCCAGUCGAUGGAAAAUUAUGUACCAAGGAUGAUUGACCAAUGACCCCAAUAAAGGAGCAUGGUGCGAAGAAAGGUUACAAGGAGACAAAUUUGUGGUGCAAGUAUGGGCGAUUCUUAUCUUCCAUUAAGAAAGAAUGGGAGGGCAUCUGUGCCAUUACUACGGUAAGGAGACCAUUUAUUUGGCAUAGAAGGAAUACAUGAGCUGGAAGCUCAUUGCCCCCUUUAUGGCCGAUUUCUUCUAUUUGAGGUACAUGUUUUAGUGUGAAAGACCAGUGGAAGGGCUUGAGAGUACAUAGAGGAGAAGGCCAGAGUAAAAAAUUCCCAAAUAGCGGCAAUAGAGCAAAUUUCAGCGCUUACGACACAAGUAAUAUGACAGUAAUAUCCUGGACAAAAGUAAUAUGACAAGGUAUCAUUUCACAACCAGUGUUAGAUGUAUCAAAUAUAGAUUUAAGACAAAAUCAUAA